rnacentral:rRNA from 1 species
AUUGAACGCUGGCGGCAUGCUUUACACAUGCAAGUCGAACGGCGGCGCGGGCUUCGGCCUGGCGGCGAGUGGCGAACGGGUGAGUAAUACAUCGGAACGUGCCCAGUAGUGGGGGAUAGCUCGGCGAAAGCCGGAUUAAUACCGCAUACGACCUGAGGGUGAAAGCGGGGGAUCUUCGGACCUCGCGCUAUUGGAGCGGCCGAUGGCAGAUUAGCUAGUUGGUGGGGUAAAGGCCUACCAAGGCGACGAUCUGUAGCUGGUCUGAGAGGACGACCAGCCACACUGGGACUGAGACACGGCCCAAACUCCUACGGGAGGCAGCAGUGGGGAAUUUUGGACAAUGGGCGAAAGCCUGAUCCAGCAAUGCCGCGUGUGUGAUGAAGGCCUUCGGGUUGUAAAGCACUUUUGGCGGGAACGAAAAGGACUGUGCCAAUACCACGGUUCGAUGACGGUACCCGCAGAAUAAGCACCGGCUAACUACGUG